ACAGUCGAGCUUCAAUACCCACAGAGAAAGGAUGCCGGUAUUUUGUGCAGCCUACGGUUGUAAUAACCGGCGCAACAAUGACACCAGAUCGCGGGGAAUUACCUUUCACAAAUUUCCCAAAGAUGAAAAGUUGAGGAGUCAGUGGGAAGUUGUGUUGAGAAGGAAGGGGUUUACUGCCACAGAGUCAUCCAAGCUCUGCAGUAAGCACUUCAAGCCGAAUGAAUUUGACAGGACGGGUCAGAUUGUCCGGCUUAGAGAUGGUGCUAUACCAUCUGUGUUCAACUUCCCGUCUCAUCUCCAAAGACCAGUAGCAACCAGGACCACAAAAGCUUCGAGGAAAGCUGAAAAGAGCCCACAAGUGGACCUUCCUCAGCAUUUCCUUGAAAGUGAACCUCAGCCCAAUGUUGACCACACCUAUGCAUUGCCUGAUUCCCCCACUCAUCUAAAGGCCAGACUCACUGAAGCUUUGGCUAAAGUGGAGAGUCUGGAGCGAGAGAAGCAGAAUGCCAAGAAAAGAGAAUGGAGGGCAAAGAAAACAAUCGAGAGUCUUCUGGAGGAUCUGAAGAAAAAGAACCUCAUAACUGAUGAGCUGAAGGAAGAGGCUUGAUUUCUACUCAGAUCUUCAGAUAGAUCUCCUUUCCAAGCGGGGGCAAGAAUACACAAAGGACCAGUGAGACUUUGCCCUCACACUCCACCUCCAUGGUCCAAAAAUGUACACCUACCUGAGGGAGUCUCUGCACCUUCCCCUCCCACAUCCACAUACAUUGCAAAGGUGGAUGAAAUCGGUGGAUGCCAAGCUUGGACUCAACAUGAUGAUGUUGGACAUGUUGCAGAAAAGGCAUGAAGAAGAUCCAACUAAAUAUGGUUGUGUGGCACUCAUGUUGGAUGCCAUGGCCAUCAAAAAACAUGUGCAGUACAACCCCCAUAUGCAAAAAAUGUCUGGAUUUGUGAAUAUGGGGGAUGGCACUUGAUGAGACUGAUGUAGCCUCUGAAGUGCUUGUUUUUAUGGUGUAUGUUUUAUGCUAUACUAUGUUUUGUAUUAUGUAUAUUGUGUUUAUACAGUAUAUAUGUUUAUACAGGGUUGAGGUGAAUAAAAGAACUGUGUUGUGACCUAAAUAACAUACUUUUGCUAUCUCCAGAAAGUAUUACAGCAUGAAAUCCCGCAUUUUUAAUUUACGAAAGCAUCCUGUAUCAUAACUACAUGUGUGCCGUUUGUAACAAACCAAACCGCUUGAAAAUCAGUUGAAAAUUCAGUGAGUUAUUCUAUUUUACUCAUUCUACUUGUGCAUACAGCUCCUUCCUCAAUAGAAGUUUGUUUUGUUUUUUUUUUUAAUUGUGCGACACACAAGACCUUACAUACAGACAUACGCCCAUAGAUACUUACAAACCUACAUGGGGUGCAGAGAUACACACAAAGCAAGAGUAAAAAAACAACAAAAACAGCCAGAGGCCUUUACAGAUCACUUCCACAAAAUUUCUCCAUAAUAGAGUAUGUUUUUGCGGCUUUCUUAUUUCUAAUGUCCUUGAUUGUGGCAGCAUAAUGGUGCAGUUCUUGUCGAAAGGGUACAAUGUUUGGUUUAGAUUUGACCCAUUUGUUUUUAUGGAUGUGAAAUUUCCCCAAACUCAAGAUCAACUGACAGAAAAACACAAAUCUUUGUCUUGGUCAUCAAAAUAAAUAAAAAUGUGUUUUUCCUGGAAA